rnacentral:rRNA from 1 species
UCCGUAGGUGAACCUGCGGAGGGAUCAUUACAGAGUUAUCCAACUCCCAAACCCAUGUGAACUUAUCUCUUUGUUGCCUCGGCGCAAGCUACCCGGGACCUCGCGCCCCGGGGGGCCCGCCGGCGGACAAACCAAACUCUGUUAUCUUCGUUGAUUAUCUGAGUGUCUUAUUUAAUAAGUCAAAACUUUCAACAACGGAUCUCUUGGUUCUGGCAUCGAUGAAGAACGCAGCGAAAUGCGAUAAGUAAUGUGAAUUGCAGAAUUCAGUGAAUCAUCGAAUCUUUGAACGCACAUUGCGCCCAUUAGUAUUCUAGUGGGCAUGCCUGUUCGAGCGUCAUUUCAACCCCUAAGCACAGCUUAUUGUUGGGACUCUACGGCUUCGUAGUUCCCCAAAGACAUUGGCGGAGUGGCAGCAGUCCUCUGAGCGUAGUAAUUCUUUAUCUCGCUUUUGUUAGGCGCUGCCCCCCCGGCCGUAAAACCCCCAAUUUUUUCUGGUUGACCUCGGAUCAGGUAGGAAUACCCGCUGAACUUAAGCAUAUCAAAAGCCGGAGGAA